AUUUUAAUAGUUUAAAAAAAAAUAUUGAUAUUGUAAAUAAAAAUUAUAAAUAUAUUUAAAUUA
rnacentral:tRNA from 1 species